AUUGAACGCUGCGGCAGGCCUAACACAUGCACGUCGAGCGAGCGGCGGACGGGUGAGUAAUGCUUAGGAAUCUGCCUAUUAGUGGGGGACAACAUCGCGAAAGGGAUGCUAAUACCGCAUACUAAUAGAUGAGCAUAAGUCGGAUUAGCUAGUUGGUGGGGUAAAGGCCUACCAAGGCGACGAUCUAUAGCGGGACUGAGAGGAUGAUCCGCCACCAUGGGACUGAGAGACUGACCAGAAUGCGAAGGGAGGCAGCAGUGGGGAAUAGUGGGCAAUGGUGUGAACCGUGAUCCGGCUAUGCCGCGUGUGUGAAGAAGGCCUUAUGGUUGUAAAGCACUUUAAGCGAGGAGGCGUGACUCGCAGAGAGAGGACCGGCUAACUCUGUGCCAGCCGCCGCGGUAAUUC
rnacentral:rRNA from 1 species